AUUAUGGGAUUAUUAGCCCACUUACUCUUAUUUUCCUUAAGAAAGAAAAAAAAAAUAAAAAAAAUGGAACUCUCUUCUUCUCUUAUGGACGAACCAUGCUCCUCCUCUUAACUCCAUGGAUUCUCCACCAUUGCUCUUAAAAUUUGAAGCAAAUCAUCCUAAAACAAAGGUAAGGAAGCUAAACUAAUCAAUUUAAGCUUUGAUUGGUUGAUUGAUGAUCUGCGUUGAUCGGAAAAUGUUAGGGUUUAAGAAUCUAAUUUGCGGGUUUCAUGAUUGAUUCAUGUGAGGUGUUCUUGAGCUUGGAUUGAAAGAUUUGGAGUGUGAAUUAGAGCUAGAACCUACAGCUAAAAGGACAUCAAUCAAGGUAUAUAGUUUUGACAAGGUGGACUUUUACUCUUGCUUCAGAAGUCCGUAUGUACAGAGAGAAGGAGUCGAUCAGUAUUGUUGCAGUAGAGUCAGGUCCUAUUUUGUGUAUAUUUGUCAAACGGUUUUUAUGUUAUGACUAAACUCUGAUAUAUGUAUAAUGUUUUGAAAAUGCACUUCAAACUGUUUGCUAUGCGAAACAGGGCUAUACUUCAUAAGAGUAUCGCGACGUAAGAUCCUGAAUUCUUUAAAUCGUUUUCAGAGGACAAAUGAAUAUUUGUAGUCGUGACGCUUUAAAUAGUUUUUACGAAAGCAUUUUUAUAUAUGUGAUUGAA